AGGGAAGCCGGUGGGAAUCCGGCACGGUCGCGCCACUGUGACUGGCACGCGGCAACGCGCCAGAAGUCAGACCU
rnacentral:misc_RNA from 1 species